CUGAGCCACCAGUGCCCCACGGAGGUCAACACAGGGAUCCGAGCCUAGAGUAGCUGUAUGCAGGCGGUUCUAAAAAACUCGCAGAGCGCCCACGACAGAACAUGUUGUUAGGUGUCCGCCGAAUACAGCAGAUUAGGGUCCGAUCACUAUCCCAUGAACAGACCAAUAACACCUCUGCAUUAUGCCUUAGCAUUCAAAAUAUCAACAACACUAUCAACAGACAACCCCCCGAGCCACUAGACACCCCCGAGAUAAGUUACUGCUUACACAAACCACUCUAAAACUGUAACCAAAGGCUCAUAAACCCCUCUAAAAUGCGCACGUAGUAGACGUACGUUGUUGGUUUUAAAGUCCUCUUUUGUUGCUAAAUAGCCUUUGUUUGGCUCAUCAUAGAAGAAGACGGGCUGCACGGCGCGAGCUAAGGUGUUCCAGAGGAAGAGACCCAGAGGAAAAAGUCAGGACUGAUGGACAGAGGAUGUUCUAGACAGAUGCUUGUGGACAACAUCAGCAGUUAGCGUUUCCACAGAGCAGAACCACUCGGCCGCCACAGCAAAUGGUGCAGUAUGACUGGUAACCAUCAUCGUCAUACAUGUAGGAUAUCUCCAGCCUCCUUCAAACAGUGGGUGCAGCGUUGCUGGUCUCAUCUUUCCACAAGAGAGACAGAAGUCUGCAAAGAAACACAGAUCAGUUAUUAUCUAUCCAAUAAUCAAUUCCUUAUAAUGAACAUGAGAGUGUGUGUUUACCUUCUACACUUCUUUUUUUCUGCAGAACUUCAUUCACCAUUUGUUCUGAGAGACAAAACAACACAUAAAAUGUCCUUCAGUAUUCCUUCCCCGAUGAGUUCUGCACGGACUUUUCAGUUUCAUUUCUGCUUAGGUCAAACCUGCCACUAUCUCACAAACAUCUUCAAUUGUCACACGCAGAAGUGCAUUUAGUUGAUGAUCGUCAUGAACAGUGUGAGGUAUUUUUUUGCAACCAGCAACCUUCCACCUUCACGUAGUAAAGGAGCAUUGAGCUGUACCUCUGCUGUAGGACUCCUCAGGAACGGCCUUGCUCUUAGAGGGACUGACUUUGGGCCGCUUGGCACUGGGGAAAUAGUCUGGCAGAGACACAUCAAAGACCUGGUCCAGAGGGCUGCUCUCUGCAAGAAAGAGACCGAUCAGCUGCUGCUGAACAGUGUGCCGCUUCUUCCACACUCUGCAGCCCUGCUCACCAGCACUGUGCGUGGGUUUGAGUCCUUCCUCUCCUUUGGGCAGGAAGCCGCCGUUGGCCCAGUCCAGCAUGGGUUUUACCAGCUCCUCUGGAUUGUCCGACUCACAGGGAGGAAAGGUCUUGUCUGAUCGUGCACUUGCCACCUGGGAGAGACGGAGGCAGGGAAUUAUUGUGGUUUCAGUUUAAGUGACCAAAACAGUGUGAACAUACUGAACCUGCAAAUCCUGUAAAAACUCUUGUACAGUCUUGUUCAUAGAUCAGUAUCAACAAGGUACCAGGUAACGCGAACACUAGAGAAGCUACCAUGUAUGAACCGCUAGCCUGCUUGUCUGGUAUGCCAUUAUUUGUGUUACCUGCCGAGCACAGGGACUGUAUCUUACUGACAUAACAUCUCAGAUAUGAAGAGGUGACCUGUGAGACCCAGACUCUGCACCUCUGGUCAGUAUCUGCGUUUAUGCUCCAUCCUCGCUGUGGUUUUCAGCUGACGUGCAUAAACACACUUUCAGUGAACCAGAGUGUGUUUUCACAGCUGACCUUAGAUCAGUAACAGUUGGCUAUACCACCCUAAACCUGCCUGUACUAGCACACACAGCUGUAUCGGUCAUGUGGAUGGUUUCUUACUCACCUCUAGAGCUUGGAAGAUGGCUCUGCGGUAGGAGGCCAGCUUGGUGUAAGAUGCCUGACUGAAGAACUUAGGGAAGGCAGUGAUGGAGUCCAGCUUGUCUGCUGAGACCUGGAGCCAAGAAGCAAAUCAGCCAGUGCAGUAGAACCUUGGAAGCCUUGGACUUGUAGUCAUUCAUACCUCAGAGAACUUGCCGUCCCCAAACCACUGCAGCCACCUCAUGCCGUGGCUGGCCUGCCGUUUGCCGGUGACGCGCCAGGUCACCACAACACCAGGCCACCAGGAGAAGCCCUUGAUCUUCCCCCACACCAGCUCCCCAAUGCCAAAACCUUUGUUGUCCUACAGACAGAGGACAUGAGGCUUUGUUCAAUGUUCUUUCCUGAUAAACAAGACAGAAUUUAGACGAAGACGAAGUAUAAAUAGUAUGAGACAAAAAAGAGAAGACAGAACUAGACAGGACCAAACAAGCGGAAACACUGUUAGCAUGGAGACAUUUGGUUACAGCUGAGGGUCUGAGACAUGAAAUCAAACCAGGUUAAGCAAACAAACGAGUCCACAGGUCACUUCAGCUCAUCAAAUACAGCACAUGUUAGACCUUGUUAACAGAAAACAUCCAGUGUCACUGAAAGCGUCAGCGUUCUGCUCACUCUUGCCCCCCAUUCAUUCUUUUGAAAGCUCACAGUCACAUGUUAGCAUAGCCGGCCUGAGGAAAGCCAUCAGGCUCCACCCCACCGAGCCCAUGGACUGUGCACACAGGUAAACAUGGAGCUGCAGGGACAUGAACACACACCUGUGGUGACUUGCAAAUGUCAGAGCCUGAAUGAACCUACGUAUACGAGGCAACAGCCAUUAAUGGAGGAAGUCUGGGGUCUGUGAAGGGAUUUACCCUCCAAGCUCCGCUUCCUCUUCUGAAUUACUCAUCAGGCCCCUGAUUUCUCCUUGAUCAGUAUGUUCCAUUAUCAAGUAACAAACAUGCAUGUGCUUCUGCGCUGUUCAGAAAUGAAUGCAGUGUACUUGCAGCAGCUGCUACAGAAAUAUUGGAACAGUCAGGAGAGAAGAGAAGAAGUACAGAACAAAAGAUUGCAUCAAGGCUGGAAAUACAAAUUUCUAACUAGAAAACAUGAACGGAAUUACAAAUAAUCAAAAGUAUGAGAAAACAAAGCCACUGCAGUCUAGGAAAAAAACGAUCCAGCUAUGAAAACCAUCAUACUGGUCUACUACAACAAAAGAAAGAUUGGUGACAGCUCCAUAAUAUGCUUAAAAGGAUCAUUGCCACUUUUCCUCAUAGUUAUCUGUGAGUGAAGGACAACACCUCCGGGAUCAUAAAUAAUUUGAAGCUACAUCACAUUUAAACACCUGAAACAUAUUUGCUUCAUGUUACUGUGAUCGUGAGACCUCAGCCUCACUCCUCGUGUCCUGGAAUAUCAGAGUUUGGUUCAAACAUGAUGCAGACUUCGUUGAAAGACAGCUCCCCCAUCUUUGGUGCCUUACGUUGUACUCUGGCUGGGCUUCGGAGCUGGAUGCCGUGCCGGUGCUUUGGGCCGAGUCCUUGGAGUCCUGUUCUAUCAACUCCAGACGAGGCGACUCAGGAACCCCUCCGGACACCAUGACCCCCUGGGGGCUACCGCCACUUCCACCCUGACAAGAGAGGGAGGAGUCAGUGUGUGAUUGACAGCAGUGGAGACAAACAAGCAGCAGCCUACAACCAAAAGGCCUACAAAGCAUUUUAGGAGAGAUGGAUUAGACUUGAAACGAUAAGGAAGUGAUGAAAGUCCAGACUGUCACUAUGAAAACAAUGUACGGAUUACACAGGAUUCCCAGGAUUUUAGACAAUGACAUAAUUUGACUCUGAAGUCACUGAUCCACAGACGUUGUUUGAUGCUACUCGUCUUGGACCCGAUGAACCAAACGUUCGUUAGACAUCGUUCUGGUCCAGCUGCGCUCACUGCCGGCGCCGGACAACCUCCACGUGGUUGUUUCACAAGGAACCUUGUUUGGGUUGAUCCAGAGCAUUUUUCUGACAUGUGCUGACAAGCAGCAGGGACUGCACCUCAACAACAGAGGUGAAAGGGAGGAAGCUCAGCUCAUUCGGAUACAUUUUGAAGCAGUCGAGUGGAAAACAUUACGAGGUUUAAUGUUUUACCAAUCACACAUUCCUGAGGUUUCCAUCUCUGCUUUAAAUGGCUGCGGUCCACAUUUCACCUACCAGUGACAGGUUCUGAUGCUGCUUGCGGCUCUGCCGGUGAGCUUUGGUCUGUGCCUGUGUCGUAAGUCCAGCCUGGAAGAUGGUUCUGGGCUGAGGCCUUUGUCUCAAACCCAACUGAGGGGCCUCUGAACACUUCUCCUGUAAACACAGAGUAGGUUAAAAUGUCACAGCUACUUCCCUAGAGUUGAUUUAUUAACCACAGAAACCUGUGUGUGGAGCCUCACCUCGCUGCAGGAGUCCCAGGUCCCUUCCUCCUCUGACCGCUUCCUGCUCCUUUUCCUGCUUCCCCCCAGACACUCAUUACCAUCUGUCAGACAGAAAGGCAAACGGACAGACGGUUGGACAGAUGGCAAGAAAGAAAUGGAGCCAGUAAGAUCCAACUGUUUUAUGGCUAAAGCUUUUAAUGCUCAAGAGUUUUUUUAUUCCUUCAUAUUUACAAAUGAGAAAAGGCAGAAAAUAACAGACUGAAGAAAAACAGGCAGCUGACGGGCUAAUUUGGCCCGAUAGCACCUAGCUGAAGCACUACUGCUUCAUUCCUAAUAACCCUUAGUAAUGAUAUUCUUCUAUAUGGUCCCCUUCAUACUUUCGCAGCCACUGUGACUACUAACAUCAUGGGACCUUAUGCGAAGUGAAGGCAGUGGUGAGCUGAGUGGGACAGACAUAGCAUAGUUCUUCAUGUCUGGUCCAACGAGCAGCCCUGGUCUUCCGACAGCUGCUGGUGGGACCAUUCCCUAUCCUUCUCUACACAGCUCUUCACAGACACCAGGGUUGGACCUGAACCCUCUGCAGUGGCCUUGUUAACGGGCCCUAGGUGCCUACUGAGCAGCCUGUCGCAGUUCUGCAGUGAUCCGCCAGGUGGAGCAGUGCUCAGUGUCACUGUGCUUGCAUUUGGGCUCUGGAACGCCUCAGAUUCGGUUACUGCAGGUGUAGCUCACCUUCAGUCUGUAAUAGCCAUGUUUAUUCAUUCUAAGAACACACACAGUGAGCUUGGACUGUGCACGUUUAAAGCCUGUUACCUUGAGGCGAAGCAGCAUCUCCAUUCUGUUUGGGGCUGAAGGGCGACGGUGGCUCAGCUGCCGUCAGAGGACUGUUGUCACUGACCAGCUCCACUCCGCUGUCGUUUUCUGAUAGGCCUUCACCAGGAGGGGUCUCUCCAUUUACAGCUGCCUGAAGACAGACAAACAGCAAACAUUAUGGUCUGCUCACCGUAAUGGUCCAGCAUGAGGUGAACACGUCAGUAACCAUGACCUGGUUGGUGGAGGAUUACAGACAGAACCUGAGGUUGGACAACGCUCUGUUUCUAACCUCUAUGAAGGUCAGGUUUGUUCUUACUGUUGAAGCAAUUGGAGUCUGCUUUACCCGAGCAGAGGUGUUGCAAUUAGCAUCAUUUCAUAUUUAAUGUCUUAAGGAGCAACGCAAGGCAAAACAGGUCUUGAAGUGAGCAAACGGCUGUGGAGCAGACACAGCUUGUGCUGCCCAGCUGUGUGAGGCUGUUUGUGAUUGUUCAGCAUCAUAAAACACGGAAUGCGUGUGGCGGGUGUUUGUUUGCGAAGCCAAAUUUCCCCUAUAAUAAAUGGACCUGUUGAACUCAUGCUGGUGUGUGCGGAACAUGUCUGAGAGUAAAGGUUGCCACAGCCGCGAGGCCCGUGGGAGACGGUGACCAUCUGAAGGCCGCAGGUCAUCACAGGAAACGAAUACUAUUACAUCCGCUGCCAAACGGAUUCAGUCAGUACCACAGAAUGACUUAACACUGGACAAAAUGAAAGAUGUGAUGAAAAAGGAAACACACUUUGAACGGGCUGCAGGGGUCUGAGCCCGACAUCUCCCCACGCACUGACAACAGCCACAGCUGGUGCAUGUCAACCUGUGAAGGGAGACACAGAGUCCUGGCAGGGGUCCAACAGAACCACAGCGUUCUGUGUCGACUGGGAUGGGAUUUUCCUGCUGAUGUUGCUUGUCCUUGGCCGAGCCAAGCGACUGAGCGGGAACGAAACAAGCAACCAACCAAAACAAGUGUAGGAGACUGCCUUGUUGUGGUUCACGGUGGAGGAGACUUCAUUUCUGUGACCAGACUAUGAUGACUUUGUUUCCAAUGCAGAAGCAUCAGCAGCACUGACACACAUUUGUGGAACCAGUUCCAGACGCAUUCUUCAUUCAGGAACAUUAUAGUGUGUGAAUCCUCAAACACUGAGCAGCGAGCGUUUCCUCUGCACCUCCUCUCCAGCAAAUCUCAUGUUACGCUCCCUUGUCACUCAUCUCAUGUUACACGUUCAGUUCCAUAUAAAUCACCAGAGGUUUAACCUGAACUACAAAAAAAAACCUUAUCUCAGUCUUUUCAGGGAUUUAAUACCUCUAGCUAACAUGGAUUGUCCUGAACACUGCUGCGUGGUCUCCAGGGUCACUGUCACAUACAUGAGGUGACGUUGCACCUCCAUGAACCACACCUGGGCCGUAGCCACCCCACCUUUGAUCACCAGCUUAGGCUUAAGGACUUAGGUCCUUUCUCUUUGCUUUCUUCCUCUUCCUGCCUCCUUCUAUCAGACACAACAGGGACAAAAACAGCUCAGAAAGGGGAAAACCUGCCAGAGACCAGGAUUGAUAUGACAAUACAGCAUACAGCAUAUUCACUUCCUCCCCCUCCCCCUUGACCAGGUGCUGCCAGUAACUGUUUCAGAGCAGAGGGGAAACAGAGCCAGGCAGCUGCUCUGUUAUCACGAUGCUCCUCCAUUACCCUGCCUUCCUGAGUAGACAUGAACAUGCUCAAUGAGGCAUUAAAGUACCAGUGACCGGCACCCCUCCUCCACU